AGGACGAACGCUGGCGGCGUGCCUAAUGCAUGCAAGUCGCACGCAGGGUGCUUGCACUCUGAGUGGCGCACGGCUGAGGAUCACGUGGGAACAUGCCUCCUUGUGGGGGACAACACCGCGAAAGCGGUGCUAAUCCCGCAUACGCUCGGCAACGAGGAAAGCGGUAACGCGCAGGGAGAGUGGCCCGCGGCCCAUCAGGUCGUUGGUGGGGUAAUGGCCUACCAAGCCGGUGACGGGUAGCUGGUCUGUGAGGACAGACAGCCAGACUGGGACUGAGACACGGCCCAGACUCCUACGGGAGGCAGCAGCAAGGAAUUUUCGCAAUGGGCGCAAGCCUGAACGAGCAACGCCGCGUGGAGGAUGACGGCCUUCGGGUUGUAAACUCCUUUUCGGGGAUGAUAAUGACAGUACCCCGGGAAUAAGGCUCGGCUAACUCUGUGCCAGCAGCCGC
rnacentral:rRNA from 1 species